CUUCAGGGGUACAUUCGGCAACGCACCAGCUGUCAUAGCGCCUCACUGUUGUGUGCCCAAAUGUUCGUCCUCAAAGAGAAAAAAUCCUACCGUGGACAGACUUUCCACCGUUUCCCCAAAGAGCAGGCACUUCGCCGUGAAUGUAUAAAUCAAAUCAAGAGGGAUCUUGGUCCAUAUUUCAAGGUAAGAUGCAAAAUUAUGUUCAAUCAUACGCAUUAGCUAGCACAAAUAAGCUAGCUCGCCAAACUUGUCAUGACUCAUGUAGCCUAAUGAAGCGAAUGCCUCGGUGAAAUAAAAAAAAAAUAUGAAUGUGUAAUUACACAACGCUACAUUUAUAUGAUUGUUGUACCUGUACAAUGACAAUAAAGUUUCAUUCAUUCAUUCAGAUCGCUAUUUCAAGAUUAUGCUUUUAAUUGUGUGGUAAGCGAUCCGAUGGCCACUGAUUUUGUGCUACAAGAACCAGUAUAGGCCUACGUGUGCCAAAAUCAAGUUGUUUUGCUAACGAACUAAAAUGCAUACCCUGGUAUUUAUGGUUACAGAUCAACGCUGAGACCAAAGUUUGCUCUGAGCACUUUGAGAAGCAGUGUUUUGUAAAGACCGCCUGUGGUAUCACAAAGCUUAUAAAGGAUGCUGUGCCUUCUGAGCUCUAGGAAGAGCAUUACUCAGCUGGAGCUUUCCCAUGGCCAAGAGAUGAACGCUAAACUUGAUAGUUUUUUUUCCUCCUCCUUCCUGCCUGCACUGUACAAAAAGUCAGUAAACAAAAACAAAUGAUUGCAUUUCACAGGUUUGUUUAUUAUAAUUUCAAAGAGAAAUGAUGUAUGAAUAAUACAAGACAUUAUUAUAUAACAACAACAUUUAGUAUAAGAACAUUUCGUAUAAUAUGAUGAUAUAUCAUGAAUAUCAUGUACAUUUGAAGCAUGAGAGAUUUGUACAAAUAAACAUCAAUUCAAUGUA